UACGGAGGGAGCUAGCGUUGUUCGGAAUUACUGGGCGUAAAGCGCGCGUAGGCGGGUCUUUAAGUCAGGGGUGAAAUCCUGGAGCUCAACUCCAGAACUGCCUUUGAUACUGAAGAUCUUGAGUUCGGGAGAGGUGAGUGGAACUGCGAGUGUAGAGGUGAAAUUCGUAGAUAUUCGCAAGAACACCAGUGGCGAAGGCGGCUCACUGGCCCGAUACUGACGCUGAGGCACGAAAGCGUGGGGAGCAAACAGG
rnacentral:rRNA from 1 species